CUCAUAUUCUAUAAUCCUCACGCAUAUGUAUUCUUUCAUUUGUACUUAUCUUUCAUUAAUAUAUAAAUAGUAGUCGGGGCAAUAUAGCCGUACACAGAAAUAUAGCAUAUUAUAACCAUACUGUAACGGACCGUUUGGCACAUAAGCGGUUAAAAACCGUUUAGGCGAUAUUCCCCUUUCAGAUGCACAGACAGCUACUGCAAUCACCAAUCUCCCGAACUGCAAACUACACGAAUUCUCCAAAUCCCGAACAGGAAACUCACGAAUACUGGAAACAGCUGAACAGGAAAAACCAUACGAAAGGUUUACACUCCUGGCAGUCAGCAUACAAUCCAAUUCCCCCAAUAACGAGACGACACUUUGUUUGAGUGUUAAGCAGAAUCUGCCAGAGCUGUGGGUUUAUUGUGGGUUUAUUGUUCUUAUGUACA